CAGACCUGACAUCGGAGUCCGACCCUCUGUGUCCGCGAUGGUCCGAGAGCCCACAAUUGGAACCAGAGGAAGAAAAUGCCUCCUUCAAGUGGAGAACACUCUCUUCAGCCUACUUUCCAUCCCAUUUUCACAGUGACAGAUGGAUACUGAAUUGGCUGUCUGACUAAACACAUAAAAAUAAGAAAAAAUACCAAAUUUUUAAAUAACCAAGAUCUGAUUCAGGAGACUUGCUUGAAUUGCUUACACAGACACAAUGUUCAGAUUCACAAAACUACUUGCACAAAGUGAGGACCAAGUAAGCUCCUUGGAAUGCAAGAAGGAACCUGUCAAAC